rnacentral:lncRNA from 1 species
AUGAGGACACACCCACAUCUGUUCCAUACUGCAGCCAUUGAUGGUGUUACAGCUCUGAGUCAGAUUUGGGCCAUCAGACGCACACACUGGAAAACCAGCACCUGGACUUCAUGCAGGAGAGACGGCCUCAGUGAUGUAGAAUUCAUCAGCAGCUGUGGAGAGAUGCAUUUGAAUAUCUUCUGGUUCCACUUUUCCUUACCUGGAAGCUGAGUAUUGCUGAUUUCUGACAAGGACACAAACCUCAGUGCUUAUCAUGGGUGUUACAUCCUCUGUGCAGCAAUUCCAGAGAAAACGAGAGAGCAACGACCACUCAUUAAGACCAGCCAGAAAUCUGUCCCUUUCUGGCAGCUGUGGAAACUUCCAUUAAGAAAGUUUGCAUUCUUAGAACAAUGCUGGAUCAUGUGUGAUGUGUCAUCAUAUGAGGAUAUUACAUUUUGCCUUAAUUCUGCUCAAUUAAGUGUUUUGAUCGUUGAUCCAGUAUGGCAGCUUUGUGUUGUGCUGCAAGUUAAAACCCAUUGUCCUCAUGAGCACAGCAUCUAACAACUCUCCUUAAAAAAAGUCGAUUGACUUUAACUGGACACAAUGGUUUCCAGUGGGAGAUACAUUCAUCACUCAUCCGUGACACUGGAGAAGUCACCUGGAUGAGUGAUAAAACAAUUUUCCAUGGAAAAUCCAGAGGAACUAAACUUUGUUGUUGUUUCUUUGGGCUCAAUUUUGCCUGAGGCUGAAAUUGAGCCCAAAAUGUUUUCUUCUUUCAGAAGAAUGUUUUCUUCUUUCAGAAGAAAACAUUUUGCCAAUAAUCAGAUAAAAAGAUUGUUGAACCAGGUGGUAUUCUCUGGAGUUUAAGACCAAAACUGAACUCCGUGAAUUGACAUUAGACUGGAAAUUCAUAAGAUGAAUAGAAAUACUGCUGAAGCUGAAUGAUAUGUGUGUGUAUGUAUGUGUGUGUGAUCUUUGUUUUCUCCAAUUCACCAGGUCUGUAAAGUUCAGUAUGACUGUGGUACAUGAUACAAAAGAAUAAAUACAGAAGAAUAACAACUUUAUGUGAAUAACUUUACUCUUCUUAAAAAUAACUCAUAAAACAAGUAAAAGUACAAAUGUGUACAAGUUAGAGACUUCCUCAGUAAGUUUACACUCUUUUGGAGUGAUUUUAAUUGUGUGUUAAAGAAGAAAGAGAUUAGAGGUAAAGUAGAGGAUGCAGAGUCCAUCACUGAGGCCGUCUCUCCUGCAUGAAGUCCAGGUGCUGGUUUUCCAGUGUGUGCGUCUGAUGGCCCAAAUCUGACUCAGAGCUGUAACACCAUCAAUGGCUGCAGUAUGGAACAGAUGUGGGUGUGUCCUCAUCUCCCAUAGGAGUCCAAAUCGUCAUCAAACAGCCCUACAGACACAAAAACAUGUGAAAAUAUAAACAACCAGACUAUCAGCAGUGAUUUAAGUACUUUAAGACCUCUGUGAAAAUCAUUUACAGUAUAUAUCACAGAAUUUAAGGCCUUUAUAAUCACAGAGCAUACAGAGAAAAGUACUAAACUGAAUCAAUUUCAGCUUUCAUUUUUCAUGAUGUAUAUUGUAUUAAUAAUUAAAUUUCAUUAUCUGUAUCUUUACCACACAUUUGCCACACAGGUGUAGAUACUAUAGGUUCGGUGAAUGCUUACAUUGCACUGAUUAGAAUAUACUGGACAUUCAAAGCUAAGAUUCAGCGCACUGUGUUAGAGGCUGGGAUUUGAUGAAUUCAUCAUAUAUACAACCUUUGAUCAUCAUUUAUGUCCAGUUGAGAAUGAAUCUGUGCACUCACAUAUUAAAUGAACUGAAAUCAGUAGUGUGAUCUCCAGUCUUUAUAUGUUGAAUGAGAGAACUGACAGCUGUUAUUUUAAUCAGCCUGUCUCAGUUGUUUUAACUCUAAGUACCACAGAGUAAUGUGGUAACAUCUGGACUGACGAGUUUACUGUCAGCAUUUGUAAUCGCUAGUUUAAAGGCUGUAGGUUGCAGCCAUUGCUCUAACACCGUAUAAAUGUAACAGGGCUCAGUGCUGGUUCUAACAGUCUGAGCUGCUUCCAGCUUUAUUUGUGAAGAGCACAGCAGCUUAUAAAACACGUAGCGAGCUCGUACAGCUGCGACGUAAAACUUUCAUUAGCUAAGAUGAUCUUAAAAUAACGGGGCUACGUG